AUAAACUAAAGCGGGGCAAUUCAGCAUUCGGCGGGCGUAAUCCGGAAGGUCGGAGCCCGGAUUCGUCCGGAAGUGGGUCGUCGUCUCAAUGGAACACCCAUGCACACAUCAUACACAUUGUACACCUCGUACACCCACAUCACGCAUACGUCGUGUGCGCCUGCGGGACAACGAGUGUACGAGUAGCCAAUAAAAAUAAGCAAACGCACUUGACCCUGGACAAUCGAGCGACUUGGGCUUGGUUCGCCGAUUCCGUUUGUAGGCCAUGGCUGUCAUGGAAUAGCAAAUCGGGCUGCCACACGACGCCCCUUAUCCGUGCUAUCCGAUAACGGAGCGUCUCUUCGCAGUGCCCAUAAAGCGCAAACAAGGCAAAAGCCAGAACAGCAGCAGAAGCGCAUGGGCUUCGCUUGCCCUAAUGGCCCGAGAAUGGAGCAGGGUGCUUCGGAGCAGUAGCAUACUUUUCGGGUUGCGAUUAAAGCUGAAGCAUAGUCCUAUCUCGAAAGAUUCACAAUUUGGACAAAGUGGCAUUGUCGAUCCUAACGUGCAGAAAUGAAACGCUGAAGCAUACAUAUAAAUAUAUAAAUACCUGGACACACAGGCAACUAAACUUUGGUCGGCAUACUACAUUGGCUUUUCUUCAAUAACAAGCUGGCCACAUAAAAGACAAUCCUCAGCCCGAUUUGGAGAGUGGCCUUCAAGUUUAUGGAAUUGCUGCCAAAACGCUCAUAAACAAAAUCCGUGUAACUCACAGUAAAAUCCUGGGAACAAUGUGCAACGCUCUAUAGAAAGGGAUC
ensembl:ncRNA lncRNA:CR43768 long non-coding RNA:CR43768